rnacentral:rRNA from 1 species
UACAGAGGGUGCGAGCGUUGUCCGGAAUCACUGGGCGUAAAGGGCGCGUAGGCGGCUUUUCAAGCGUGCGGUGAAAGCUCGGGGCUUAACUCCGAGUCUGCCGUGCGAACUGGGAGGCUUGAGUCUGGUAGAGGUCGAUGGAAUUCCGGGUGUAGCGGUGGAAUGCGUAGAGAUCCGGAAGAACACCGGUGGCGGAGGCGGUCGACUGGGCCAGUACUGACGCUGAGGCGCGACAGCGUGGGGAGCAAACAGG